GAGAGUAAGCGAGGUGGUUGCGGAUUGGCAAAAUUUGCCAGUCUGAGGAAAGUCCGGACUCCCGAAAGACCAAACUUGCUGGGUAACGCCCAGUGUGCGCAAGCGCGAGGAUAGUGCCACAGAAACAUACCGCCAAUUAGUCAUUUGUCAUUUUGUUUUUUACAAAGGACAAAGGACAAAAUUGGUAAGGGUGCAAAGGUGCGGUAAGAGCGCACCAGCAGCAUCGAGAGGUGCUGGCUCGGUAAACCCCGGUUGGGAGCAAGGUCGAAGGGACUACGGUUGGUCUUUUACCAGUCCCGCUUCUAGAGAACCGCUUGAGGUGUCUGGUAACAGACAUCCCAGAUAGAUAACCGCCGGUGCAACAGUUAGCCGAUUGCUGUAAGCUAAGCUACUGGUUACACUAACAGAAUCCGGCUUACGUCCUACUCUCUCCU
rnacentral:RNase_P_RNA from 1 species